ACUGAGCAGGGUGGCACAUGCCUGUAGUCCCAGCUACUCAGGAGGCUGAGGCAGGAGGAUUGCUUGAGCCCAGGAAUUCUGGGCCAUAGUGUACUAUGCUAAUCAGGGGUCUGCACUAGUUCAGCAUCAAUAUGGUGACCUCCUGGGAGUGGAGGACCACCAGGUUGCCUAAGAAGGGGUGAACCAGCCCAGGUCAGAAACAGAGCGGGUGAAAACUCCUGUGCUGAUCGGUAGUGGAAUUAUGCCUGUAAAUAGCUACGGCACACUCCAGCCCUAACAUAUAAUAACUAACCCUGUUUCUA
rfam:Papio anubis isolate 1X1155 chromosome 20, whole genome shotgun sequence.